CCUACGGGAGGCUGCAGUGGGGAAUAUUGGACAAUGGGGGGAACCCUGAUCCAGCCAUGCCGCGUGUGUGAAGAAGGCCCUCGGGUUGUAAAGCACUUUCAGUGAGGAAGAACGCCUGGUGGUUAAUACCCAUCAGGAAAGACAUCACUCACAGAAGAAGCACCGGCUAACUCCGUGCCAGCAGCCGCGGUAAUACGGAGGGUGCGAGCGUUAAUCGGAAUUACUGAGCGUAAAGCGCGCGUAGGUGGCUUGAUAAGCCGGUUGUGAAAGCCCCGGGCUCAACCUGGGAACGGCAUCCGGAACUGUCAAGCUAGAGUGCAGGAGAGGAAGGUAGAAUUCCCGGUGUAGCGGUGAAAUGCGUAGAGAUCGGGAGGAAUACCAGUGGCGAAGGCGGCCUUCUGGACUGACACUGACACUGAGGUGCGAAAGCGUGGGUAGCAAACAGGAUUAGAUACCCUUGUAGUC
rnacentral:rRNA from 1 species